rnacentral:sRNA from 1 species
GGAACUGGGUUCAAAUCUCAUGCUAGUGUAUGGGUAGUUUUCGUCUUGUAAGCCGAAAGCCAUAGUUGCUAGUGCAAGGUUUGCAAUUACAUCGUGUUAAGAUACAUAUACGAUCCAACAACAAGUCGAAAUUAUUAAAAGUUAGUAGCGAAAUCCGAAUUCCAACAAUUGAGGGUCUGGUGGCAAAAAUUGAAUCCUCGCACAGUACAAUGAUUCCGUACCAAGAAGAUAACGAAGUCUCUCGACAAUUCUUGGUUGAAUCCGCUAUGUACAAGAAAAUAAGGAAACUGCAAAAAAAUCUACACA